rnacentral:lncRNA from 1 species
AGUACUUUGGGAGGCCGAGGUGGGCAAAUCACCUGAGGUUGGGAGUUUGAGACCAGCCUGACCAACAUGAAGAAACUACGUCUCUACUGAAAAUACAAAAAACUUAGCCGGGCUAGGUGAUGCAUGCCUGUAAUCCCAGCUACUUGGGAGUCUGAGGCAGGAGAAUUGUUGAACCCAGGAAGCAUAAGUUGUGGUGAGCCGAGAUUGUGCCAUUGUACUCCAGCCUGGGCAAUGAGAGUGAAACUCUGUCUCAAAAAAAAAAAAAAAGUUAAAAACGUAAGGAACAUGUUUCUGUUAAGCUAUGCUAUUCUUUUUGUAAGCAUUAAGUUUGGGACUUAGAGAAUACAUAUGCGUAGCUACUUAAGUAUACAUAAAAUAUCUUGGAAAGAGUUAUACUCCUCACCAUAACAAAAAUACAAAACCAAAUUAGAAUAUUAGUUAUUCUGGAAAGGGAAACUGGGCAGUUGGGAGGCAGAAGUAGAAAGACUUUUCUUGGCCAGGUAUGAUGGCUCACGCCUGUAAUCCCAGCACUCUGGGAGGCUGAGGUGGACAGAUCAUCUGAGGUCAGGAGUUCAAGACCAGCCUGGCCAACAUAGUGAAACUCUGUCUCUACUAAAAAUACAACAAAAAUUAGCUGGGCAUGGUGGUGCACAGCUACUUAGGAGGCUGAGACAGGAGAAUCACUUGAACCUGGGAGGUGGAAGUUGCGGUGGGCCGAGAUUGCACCAAUGCGCUCCAGCCUGGGCAACAGAGCAAGACUCCGUCUAAAAAACAAAAAAGAAAGAAAGAGUUUUCUCGUAUACACUUUCUGAGUUUAAUGUGAAUGAAUCACCUAUUUAAAAAAUGCAAGGCCGGGCACGGUGGCUCAGGCCUGUAAUCCCAGCACUUUGGGAGGCUGAGGCAGGUGGAUCACGAGGUCAGGAGUUCGAGGGCAGCCUAACCAACAUGAUGAAACCCCCGUCUCUACCAAAAAAAUGCAGAAAAUUAGCUGGGCGUGGUGGUGCACACCUGUAAUUCCAGCUACUCAGGAGGCUGAGGUAGGAGAAUCGCUUGAACCCAGGAGGCAGAGGUUGUAGUGAUCCGAGAUCUCGCCACUGCACUUCAGCCUGGGUGACAGAGCAAGACUCUGUCUCAAAAAAUAAAUAAAGAAAGAAAAACAGCAAAAAAAGUUUUUGUUUCUUUUCUGGAAGAUAUAUUUUAUGUAAGUGUAAGCAAACACAUAUAUAUCUUUUUUACCUGGAAUAGCGUUUGGCAUAGAAUCGGGAAAAUAUUGGGCAAGGGAAGUCAGGUACCCCCAAAAGAACCCAACUUGACUGCAAAAGCUUGCAGCCUCCUUCAACUGGUGAUUUUAAUUAGUUUAUUUAAUUUUGCAACACCAAAACAAAAAAAUUUUUCCUGCAUCAGUUAAUCUACCUGCAUUAGUGUUUCCCUGGCACGGGGCUGCAAAAUCAUAUUAGUUCAAUUACAGAACUUCGCAUUAUAUUAGGCGUAACUAUUUCCCUUGGGUCCUAAUUAAAUAAGGUCGAAUCAACUUUCUGCCUUCGGCAUUUGUGCUAAAAAAAAAAAAAAAA